GAGUUUGAUCCUGGCUCAGAUUGAACGCUGGCGGCAUGCCUUACACAUGCAAGUCGAACGGCAGCAUGAUCUAGCUUGCUAGAUUGAUGGCGAGUGGCGAACGGGUGAGUAAUACAUCGGAACGUGCCCUGUAGUGGGGGAUAACUAGUCGAAAGAUUAGCUAAUACCGCAUACGACCUGAGGGUGAAAGUGGGGGACCGCAAGGCCUCAUGCUAUAGGAGCGGCCGAUGUCUGAUUAGCUAGUUGGUGGGGUAAAGGCCCGACCAAGGCGACGAUCAGUAGCUGGUCUGAGAGGACGAUCAGCCACACUGGGACUGAGACACGGCCCAGACUCCUACGGGAGGCAGCAGUGGGGAAUUUUGGACAAUGGGCGAAAGCCUGAUCCAGCAAUGCCGCGUGUGUGAGAAGG
rnacentral:rRNA from 1 species